rnacentral:rRNA from 1 species
UACAGAGGGUGCGAGCGUUGUCCGGAAUCACUGGGCGUAAAGGGCGCGUAGGUGGCGCGACAAGUCAGUGGUGAAAGUUCGACGCUCAACGUCGAAUCGGCCACUGAUACUGUUGGGCUUGAGCACUGUAGAGGCUAAUGGAAUUCCGGGUGUAGCGGUGGAAGUGCGCAGAUAUCAGGAGGAACACCAAUAGCGAAGGCAGCUCGCUGGGACGUUACUGACACUAAGGCGCGAAAGCGUGGGGAGCGAACAGG